rnacentral:misc_RNA from 1 species
GAUGAAGAACGUAGUGAAAUGCGAUACGUAAUGUGAAUUGCAGAUUUCAGUGAAUCAUCGAAUCUUUGAACGCACAUUGCGCCCGCUAGUAUUCUGGCGGGCAUGCCUGUUCGAGCGUCAUUUCAACCAUCAAGCCCUAGGCUUGCGUUGGAGCCCUGCGGCUGCCGCAGGCUCCCAAAUCCAGUGGCGGGCUCGUCGUCGUACCGAGUGCAGUAAACAUCCUCGCUCAGGGAACGUGACGGGUUCUUGCCGUGAAACCCCCCACAUAUCAAGGUUGACCUCGGAUCAGGUAGGAAUACCCGCUGAACUUAAGCAUAUCAAUAAGCGGAGA